rnacentral:misc_RNA from 1 species
GAUGAAGAACGCAGCGAAAUGCGAUAAGUAAUGCGAAUUGCAGAAUUUCCGUGAGUCAUCGAAUCUUUGAACGCACAUUGCGCCCCCUGGUAUUCCGGGGGGCAUGCCUGUCCGAGCGUCAUUACAACCCUCAAGCUAAGCUUGGUGUUGGGCCCCGCCGCCCCGGCGGGCCCUAAAGUCAGUGGCGGUGCCGUCCGGCUCCGAGCGUAGUAAUUCUUCUCGCUCUGGAGGUCCGGUCGUGUGCUCGCCAGCAACCCCCAAUUUUUUUCAGGUUGACCUCGGAUCAGGUAGGGAUACCCGCUGAACUUAAGCAUAUCAAUAAGCGGAGGA